rnacentral:rRNA from 1 species
CUACGGGUUGCAGCAGUUGGGAAUUUUGCACAAUGGGGGAAACCCUGAUGCAGCAACACUGCGUGGAGGAAGACGGCCUUCGGGUUGUAAACUUCUUUUCUUGGGGAAUAAUCUUGAAGGUACCCAAGGAAUAAGCGCCGGCUAACUACGUGCCAGCAGCCGCGGUAAUACGUAGGGCGCGAACGCUAUCCGGAUUUAUUGGGCGUAAAGAGCUCGUAGGCGGACCUAGAAGUUGGGUAUUAAAUAUCCAGGCUCAACUUGGAAAAUGUAUCCAAAACCAUAGGUCUUGAGGUAUGCAGGGGAGGACGGAACUUACGGUGUAGCAGUGAAAUGCGUAGAUAUCGUAAGGAACGCCAAAGGUGAAGACAGUUCUCUGGGCAUCACCUGACGCUGAGGAGCGAAAGCGUGGGUAGCGAACGGGAUUAGAUACCCCUGUAGUC